AUGGUCCAAAUAUUGUCCCUGAUCCACAGCGGAGAUGGUAGACUGAGUAGCAUGCCCUACAUACCAGCAGAUGUCACAAACCUAAAGGCAAAGUACCAUAGAGAGAGCAGGUUGGCUGACAUAGAAGACACAAUAGCCUACUUUGAAGAGAAAGCAAAAACGGAUGCUGAUUUCUUCUACAAGAUAAGAUUGGACGAUGAGGACCAUGUCAGAAACAUGUAUUGGGUGGAUGGUGCUGCAAGAAGAGCCUACAAACAUUUCCGUGAUUGCAUUUCAUUCGACGCGACAUAUCUCACUCAUAUGUACAAGAUGCCCUGCGCUCAUAGGAAUAAAUAA
rnacentral:rRNA from 1 species